CCCGGUAUUGGUGCUGCAGCUGGUGUUGUGAAUCAGGCCGACGACAAGCGCAUCCUACUAUCCGGCUAUUUCACUACACCAGGGUUGCAUCAUACCAC
rnacentral:pre_miRNA from 1 species